CAGGAGAUAGUUUAUAAAAAAUUAUAAUUUUGGAAAUUAUAGAAGAGAUUUUCUUUCUUUUGA
rnacentral:tRNA from 1 species